UCAGAUUGAACGCUGGCGGCAGCCUUAUACAUGCAAGUCGAACGAGAAAGUUCCUUCGGGAGCGAGUAAAGUGGCGGACGGGUGAGUAACGCGUAGGAAUCUACCUUUCAGUGGGGGAUAGCUCGGGGAAACUCGAAUUAAUACCGCAUACACCCUUCGGGGGAAAGGGGGCCUCUCCUUGGAAGCUCUCGCUGUUAGAUGAGCCUGCGUGAGAUUAGCUUGUUGGUAAGGUAAUGGCUUACCAAGGCUACGAUCUCUAGCUGGUCUGAGAGGACGAUCAGCCACACUGGGACUGAGACACGGCCCAGACUCCUACGGGAGGCAGCAGUAGGGAAUAUUGGACAAUGGGGGCAACCCUGAUCCAGGCAUGCCGCGUGUGUGAAGAAGGCCUUAGGGUUGUAAAGCACUUUAAGUGAGGAAGAAAAGAUUUAAAUUAAUACUUUAAGUCCCUGACAUUAUUCACAGAAUAAGGACCGGCUAACUCCGUGCCAGCAGCCGCGGUAAUACGGAGGGUCCAAGCGUUAAUCGGAAUUACUGGGCGUAAAGCGCGCGUAGAUGGUUUAUUCAGUUGGGUGUGAAAUCCCUGGGCUCAACCUAGGAACUGCAUUCAAAACUUAUAAACUAGAGUACGAAAGAGGAGAGUAGAAUUCAUGGUGUAGCGGUGAAAUGCGUAGAGAUCAUGAGGAAUACCAGUGGCGAAGGCGACUCUCUGGUUCGAGACUGACAUUGAGGUGCGAAAGCGUGGGUAGCAAACAGGAUUAGAUACCCUGGUAGUCCACGCCGUAAACGAUGAGAACUAGCCGUUGGGAUCUUUAGAUUUCAGUGGCGCAGCUAACGCAUUAAGUUCUCCGCCUGGGGAGUACGGCCGCAAGGCUAAAACUCAAAUGAAUUGACGGA
rnacentral:rRNA from 1 species